CCACAGGCUCCUGACUCUCACUGGGCAGGGCUCUGGACUCUGUCCAACACCUCCACUCUAACCAGCAGGCCCUUCCUGGAGCACAAACCCAACAGCCCAGUAAGGUCUGCGAAUGACUCAGAAGUCAUGUGGGCCUGAGUGACUACUCCUGGAAGCUGGCUCCCAAAGCAGCAGUUUCACAAGAUGACCCGAUCACGCAGCUUCCUGCCUGCACCCCAGCAGGGUUUCCAACGAGCCUCCUCACUCCUGGGCACCAGAGCCUCAGUUUCCCCACUGCCAUGAGGAGAGGCAGGAAACGUUCCCAGGGGACUUCUCCAGCAUCUCAAGGGCUGACUGUCCCCCAUCUGGAGAUCUCAGCAGGAAGGGGGCUCCCCCAGGACGUCUGACCAAUCCCACAAAUGAGAACUUGAACAGAGCGAGCAGCUCCUGCUCCAGAGGCAUUCACGGCCCCAACUCACUGCAGCCUUCGCUGGCCCUGGGGUUGGGCUCCAGGGGAGAGGCUGGCCAAGCAGAGGAGUCGGGGCAGCUCUGGGAGGCCCCGAGCCACCGCACGCUCUCUCCUGGAUGGUGCUCAACUCAGCGCCUGCUGCAGAGUUGAUGGUCCUCACCUUGGAGCCUUGGUUUCCUCCCCUGAGAGCAGCUCAGUGACAGCACCGUCUCCCUAAGGCCACUGGGACAGGAUGGGAGAAUUCAUGCACGCCCUCAGUACGGCGCCUGACAGUAAGUGCUCAUUAAACAGCUGGUGUUGUA